UGAAUACGAGAUGCUACGGCGUCGAAGCAGUCUAUGUCAUACUUCCAAGAAAAGCUUGCACUGUCAUAAACAAAUAAUGCCUGUACCAUAACCGACACAGGUGGGUAGGUAGAGUAUACUAAGGGGCGCGAGAUAACUCUCUCUAAGGAACUCGGCAAAAUGACUCCGUAACUUCGGGAGAAGGAGUGCCUUAUUUUAUAAGGUUGCAAUAACAAGAUCCAAGCAACUGUUUACCAAAAACACAGGUCUCCGCUAAGUCGUAAGACGAUGUAUGGGGGCUGACGCCUGCCCAGUGCCAGAAGGUUAAAGAAGUUGGUUAGCAUCCGCGAAGCUGAUAACUGAAGCCCUGGUGAACGGCGGCCGUAACUAUAACGGUCCUAAGGUAGCGAAAUUCCUUGUCGGGUAAGUUCCGACCCGCACGAAAGGCGUAAUGAUUUGGAUACUGUCUCAGAGAGGGGCUCGGUGAAAUAGACUUGUCUAUGAAGAUGCGGACUACCUGCACCAGGACAGAAAGACCCUAUGAAGCUUUACUGUAACUUGAAAUUGAAAUUGGACUUUACUUGCGCAGUAUAGGUGGGAGGCGUUGAGAAUAUUCUUGCGGGAAUGUUGGAGCCAUCAGUGAGAUACCACUCUUGUAAUGUUAGAUUUCUAACUUUGUAUCAUUAUCUGGUCAAAGGACAGUUUCAGGCGGGCAGUUUGACUGGGGCGGUCGCCUCCCAAACGGUAACGGAGGCGCACAAAGGUUUCCUCUGAACGGGUAGAAAUCGUAUCUAGAGUGUAAAGGCAUAAGGAAGCUUGACUGUGAGACCUACAAGUCGAGCAGGGACGAAAGUCGGUCUUAGUGAUCUGACGGUGCUGAGUGGAAAGGCCGUCACUCAACGGAUAAAAGUUACUCUAGGAUAACAGGCUGAUCUCCCCAAGAGUUCACAUCGACGGGGAGGUUUGGCACCUUGAUGUCGGCUCAUCGCAUCCUGGGGCGGUAGUACGUCCCAAGGGUUGGGCUGUUCGCCCAUGAAAGCGGUACGCGAGCUGGGUUCAGAACGUCGUGAGACAGUUCGGUCCAUAUCCGGUGUAGGCGUUAGAAUAUUGAGAGGAGCCUUCUUUAGUACGAGAGGACCGAGAAGGACAUACCUCUGGUGUACCAGUUAUCGUGCCAACGGUAAACGCUGGGUAGCUAUGUAUGGAGUGGAUAACCGCUGAAAGCAUCUAAGUGGGAAGCCCACCUCAAGAUAAG
rnacentral:rRNA from 1 species